ACCCCGGGGUCACUCAGGGUCACUCAGGGGUCACUCAGGGGUCACCCUGGGGUCACGCCGGGGUCACCCCGGGGUCACCUGUGGAGUUCUUGCGUUUCUUGCGGUAGCUGCCCAGGAUGGUUCGGGGGGAGGUGGCCAAGGCCUGCAGGGUGGGGGAGGGGAGAACCUCCUCGGGCCGGAACUCGGGGAGCUCGGCGAAGCGCUCCUCGAAAUCCACCUCGGACAGCACCCUGGGGGGGCCAAAAACACCCCAAAAACACCCCAAAAUCAGCCAAAAACACCCCAAAAAUAUCCCAAAAAUAUCCUAAAUAUUCCAAAGUACAAAGCUCCUCGAAAUCCACCUCAGACAGGACCCUGGGGGGCCAGAAACACCCCAAAAACACCCCAAAAAUAUCCGAAAACCAACCCCAAAACCACCCCAAAAUCAGCCCCAAAAAUACCCCAAAAACACCCCAAAAAAACCCCAAAAACACCCCAAAAUCAGCCAAAAACACCCUGAAAUCAGCCCCAAAAACAUCCCAAAACCAACCCCCAAAAACACCCCAAAAUCAGCCCCAAAAACACCCCAAAAAAACCCCAAAAUCAGCCCAAAAUCAGCCCCAAAAACACCCCAAAAAUAUCCCAAAAAUAUCCUAAAUAUUCCAAAAGUACAAAGCUCCUCGAAAUCCACCUCGGACAGGACCCUGGGGGGGCCAGAAACACCCCGAAAACACCCCAAAAUCAGCCCCAGAAACACCCCAAAAAUACCCCAAAAAUAUCCCAAAAAUAUCCUAAAUAUUCCAAAGUACAAAGCUCCUCGAAAUCCACCUCGGACAGGACCCUGGGGGGCCAAAAACACCCCAAAAACACCCCAAAAUCACCCCAAAAACUCCCCAAAAACACCCCAAAAACACACCAAAACAAACCCAAAAUCAGCCCCAAAACCACCCCAAAAAACCUCAAAAUCAACUCCAAAAACACCCCAAAAAUACCCCCAAAAAACCCCAAAAACACCCCAAAAUCAGCCCAAAAAUAUCCCAAAAUCAGCCCCAAAACCACCCCAAAAAUCAACUCCAAAACCACCCCAAAAUCAGCCCCAGAAACGCCCCAAAACCACCUCAAAAAACCCCAAAAUCAACUCCAAAAACACCCCCAAAAAACCCCAAAAUCAACCCCAAAAAACACCCCAAAACCACCCCAAAAUCAGCCCCAAAAGCACCCCUAAAACCAGCCAAAAACACCCCAAAAAAAACCCCCCAAAACUCCCAAAAUUUUCCCCAAAACGCCCCC
rnacentral:lncRNA from 1 species